GCAAAACUUUCUUAAAGGAACUCGUUUAUUAAUCGAUAAUACUCGUUAACUUUUACUAAAUUUAAUCUAGCUUAUAUACCGCCGUUUAAACCAUUUUAACAAACCUCAUUCUUAACCUGUAUUUAUGCAACCUCAGGUCAAGGUAUAGCCCAUAAUUUAGAUUAAAUAAGUUACUAUAAAAUAAAUUUAUUUUAAAUUUUAAAUAAAUUUUAAUAAAAAAUAGGAUUUGAAUUCAAUAUUCCAAUAGUAAUCUAGUAUGAACAUACGUUUAAC
rnacentral:rRNA from 1 species